rnacentral:rRNA from 1 species
GACGAACGCUGGCGGCGUGCUUAACACAUGCAAGUCGAACGGAAAGGCCCUGAUUUUGUGGGGUGCUCGAGUGGCGAACGGGUGAGUAACACGUGAGUAACAUGCCCCUGACUUUGGGAUAUCUUCAGGAAACUGGGGAUAAUACCGGAUAGGAGCUCCUGCUGCAUGGUGGGGGUUGGAAAGUUUCGGCGGUUGGGGAUGGACUCGCGGCUUAUGAGCUUGUUGGUGGGGUAGGGGAUGACAAAGGCUUUGACGGGUAGCCGGCCUGAGAGGGUGACCGGCCACCAUGGGACUGCGAUAGGGCCCAGACGCCUACGGUAGGCAGCAGUGGGGAAUAUUGCACAAUGGGCGGAAGCCUGAUGCAGCAACGCCGCGUGCGGGAUGACGGCCUUCGGGUUGUAAACCGCUUUCGCCUGUGACGAAGCGUGAGUGACGGUAAUGGGUAAAGAAGCACCGGCUAACUACGUG